CUUACAAUGAAAAUAACCUUAGGGCUUUCUUAUACUGUGAAUUAUAGUUAAAGUAAAAGAAAACAUAUUAGUUGUACCUUUUGUAUCAGGGGAAUUUAAAAUUAUAAUAAUGUAGUUAUCGAUUAAAACGGAUCUUUUUGUUAAGCUUUUAGUUACAUUUAAAGGUUGUAAAAAAUUAAGAGGUGAAAAGUGUACGACGUUUAUGAUAUCUAAUUGCUUUAAAUAUAAAUGGUUAAGCUUUUAUAUAUCUAAAAUGUUAAUGAAUUAUUAAGAGCUAGGCUUUAGACUAGCUAUGUUAAUAGAUUGUUUUAAGUAAUUUAUUAAAAUUUUAAUAGGUUAGAGUGUGAAGGUAAUAUUUAAGUGUUUAAGUAAGUAAAAAUAAUGAAUUUAUUGAAUAAUUAAAGAAGAUUGAAAAUUACUCAAGUAUAUUAGAAAGUUUAGCAAAAACAUUUCUAUUUGUAAAAAUAAAAGUAAAACCUGCCCGGUGCUAAGUUAACGGCUGCGGUAUUUUGACCGUGCUAAGGUAGCAUAAUCAUUUGCUUUUUAAUUGAUAGCUGGCAUGAAAGGUUAAACUAAUUUACCUAGUUUGUAUAUCUAGUUAAGAGUUUUAAGUUAAAGUAAUAAUUCUUUAAUUUUCUAGGGGACGAUAAGACCCUAGAAGCUUAAUAAAUAUUUAUUUUGUUAGUAGUAAGUUUAAGUUUAUUUUACUGGGGCGGUAUUUACAAUUAAACUGUUUUUUUAUAAGUAGAUCCUUCAUAUGAGGAAAUAAUGGGUAAGUUACUCUAGGGAUAACAGUGCGAUAUAUUUAGAGAGAUCUUAUCGAUAAGUAUGAUUGCAACCUCGAUGUU
rnacentral:rRNA from 1 species